GUUGAACGCUGGCGGCAGGCCUAACACAUGCAAGUCGAGCGGUAGAGAGAAGCUUGCUUCUCUUGAGAGCGGCGGACGGGUGAGUAAUGCCUAGGAAUCUGCCUGGUAGUGGGGGAUAACGUUCGGAAACGGACGCUAAUACCGCAUACGUUCUACGGGAGAAAGCAGGGGACCUUCGGGCCUUGCGCUAUCAGAUGAGCCUAGGUCGGAUUAGCUAGUUGGUGAGGUAAUGGCUCACCAAGGCGACGAUCCGUAACUGGUCUGAGAGGAUGAUCAGUCACACUGGAACUGAGACACGGUCCAGACUCCUACGGGAGGCAGCAGUGGGGAAUAUUGGACAAUGGGCGAAAGCCUGAUCCAGCCAUGCCGCGUGUGUGAAGAAGGUCUUCGGAUUGUAAAGCACUUUAAGUUGGGAGGAAGGGUUGUAGAUUAAUACUCUGCAAUUUUGACGUUACCGACAGAAUAAGCACCGGCUAACUCUGUGC
rnacentral:rRNA from 1 species